UACGAAGGGGCUAGCGUUGCUCGGAAUCACUGGGCGUAAAGGGUGCGUAGGCGGGUCUUUAAGUCAGGGGUGAAAUCCUGGAGCUCAACUCCAGAACUGCCUUUGAUACUGAAGAUCUUGAGUUCGGGAGAGGUGAGUGGAACUGCGAGUGUAGAGGUGAAAUUCGUAGAUAUUCGCAAGAACACCAGUGGCGAAGGCGGCUCACUGGCCCGAGUACUGACGCUGAGGCACGAA
rnacentral:rRNA from 1 species